AAAAGAGCAAUGAUGAAGAGUAGUACAUCUGUUUAAGGCUUUCAGAGAGUUUGUGAUCGGUGGAAACAAACAGCCUGGCAAAUGGAAUGGACUUUUGAGCUUCUGGUUCGAACUUAGAGUAGCUCCAGACGUGAUCCAGCGUUAAAGGAAUCCAUGCUGCAAAAUGACAUGGGCAAAGUGACUCAUUCGUGAGUAAUUAGGGUGGCAACACGGACCAUUCGUCCCUAUC
rnacentral:ncRNA from 1 species